GGGAAAUAAUAUAAACAUUAUUAGAAAAAUAUAUCUUAAUACAAAACAAACAAUCAGGUGUUUGCAUGGCAGGCCUGGGACUCGCAGAGAGCCUUCUUUCCAGCACCAUGGACCUUUCUCUGCUCAUUGUUGAGUGUUCCUGAGUAUAUUGUUUAUGUGUAUCUUGUCAGACUCAUCAAGAUCUGACUUGCAUCUGAAACGUUGUUGGUUUAGGAUACACUAGACUAGGAUGUCACCAGGAUCAAGUUCCUCCUGAUGGUUAACAAGCAGGGCCAGACCUGCCUGUCUAAGUACUAUGAGCGGGUGGACACUGGAAAGAGGCCUUCUCUGGAGGCUGAUGUUGUCAAGGGAUGCCUGUCACGCUAAAAAGAAGAGGUCUCUAUUUCAAUUGUUAUUUUUACUCUAUUAGAAAUCUCAAUCAAUCAAAUGCAUUUUGUAUAGACCUUUUUACAUCAGAAGUUGUCACAAAAUGCUUUACAGAUACCCAACCUUAAACCCCCAAAAGCAAGCAAGCAAUGUGAAGGCAGAAGCACAGUGGCUUGGAAAAACUAGUUUUUUGUUGUUUACAUUCAGGGGUAGGACACAACAGUGAGAAGAUGUACAUAACUGGUGACAGGGGCAUGGACGAGACAAUACAGAACAGAAAGAAAUCCAGUUCAAUAACCUACAUCCAUCCCUUUAAUUUAUCAUUUUGGUUAUGCAAUUCUUCCUGCUGAGUUAGCUUGCCACUGCCAGUCCACAUGCAUUUUAUACAGGUGACACAAAACUCAUUAUGCUAUUCAAACAUCCAAGUAACUAUUAUUUUCUAUCUAGUGCUCUUUUAUGGACUUCAAACUAGUAUAUAGACAGUAUGCUGCUCUCUUCGUAGUUGCUGGUAUCAGUGACACUGAGGUGAGAGUUCAUAAUUUUACUGUUAUGUGUGAAAAAAUAGUGUUAUUAUAUUAAGGUUGAGAUUUUAUUAUUGAGAGUAUUCAUGAUUCAUGGUGUAGGAUGUCUUUCUUUCCCACGGAAUUAACUGUCAGACAACUUUGUUGAGGUUCUUGACAAGUACUUUGGUCAUGUGGUGAGUUCAGAGUCUCUUUUUGUUCACUACUUCAGCACAUUCUGGCUGUAUGCUAGAUUUACUGCAUGUCAACUAUCCAACCACCUGUGCAUAGCUCAGCAUCUCAAAGGUCAGCUUUUUCUGGGACAAAAACACAUUACUCUAAACUGAGCAUUCCCCAUUAGAGAAGCCAAUACUAUACAUUUAAGUUGUUUUCCAUUGACAUAUGUAUCAUUGGUUUGCUUAAUGUAUCUCUACUUUGCCUUUUGUAUUGAUGUGAAUAUUCUUGUAAUUACAGGGCUCAUCCGCAAAAGAGUCCUUGGUCUCAGCAUGACUCCCUGUUAAAUUAAAGGUUAAAUAACUACAAUAAAAAUAACCAUGUGACUGCUUUGUUUUUCUCUCCUAACAAGAGUGGAUUGGAUGUAUCCUUUACAAAUGAUAAGUUUUGUUAAUAACCAGUUUGAGGAAGUUAAUUGAAACAGAUGCUGGGGUUGUCUGCGUGUCCACCCCUCACAUUAGGGGCUUGUCACGUGGCUAGCCAACUGUGCCAUUCCAGGUCUGGCAUUUAGUGCGGCACUGCACAGACUGAAAUUCCAUGACUGAAACUUAAGUCAAUUCAUCCUUUUACAGAAACACAAUCAUUUUGUACAUGUAUAAAACUGAGUUUGACAUUUUCAAUGUUUAAUUGUUUUUCAAAGAAUCCAUGACUGAAAUAAUGUCACAGUAAUCUUUGACCCCUCUAAGAGUAGCCAGGGUUAACAACAUUUUUCUUACUAAUGGAAAGGGCUCAUUUGGGGGGGAAUUACAUGUGUAUUCAAUGUUAGUAGAGACCAACAAGAACCGCAUCCUGGCACCUCUACUAGCUCUGGACCAGAUGUCUGAGGCUCAUUGAGCAGUUGUUUGAACACGAAGACUGUCGGCCUUUGAAAAAGGGGACACAUUAAAUCAUUUGGAUGGCAUGGACUUCAUACUUGAAUUUAUCAACAACCCAUUGUUAUUAAUAUAGAAUAGGGAGGUUUUAGACAGCUGUAGUAAUAGUUUGACUGAGGUAUCACACAAACCCUGUUUUGAAUUUGGUUCUUGAAUGUGCCUGGAAUAUGUAAUUCAGGUCUUUUAUUAAGAAAAUAAACAAGACGUUUCAUACUUUGCAAACAUUUUAAUUUUUUGGAGCAUACACAUUUGAAAAUAUCUGUUUACUUCAAAUUGCAACUGGAGUUAAAUAAAUGUUUAUAAUAUACAAAGAAAAUACAAGGGAAAGCAUAGCUUGCUUUUUUCUUUUUAAAUGUGCCUUGCACACAGAACCAGUGUUUUUGUCUCUAUAGCUUUAUUGUAAAAUUACACAAGAAAUGCACUCAGGGACUUUGAUCCUUAUAGCAGGAUAACAAACAAUCAAAACAUACAUAACGAAAGAAAAAUGAAGAGCAAAAAUAAUAAGCAUGUGCAUCAUGAUUGUAUGCCGUAAGAUUAAGUAAAAGGAGGGAAAAAUGUAAUCCUAAUAUUCAAACAAUGCAGGCACUAGUAAAA